AUUGAACGCUGGCGGCAUGCCUUACACAUGCAAGUCGAACGGCAGCACGGGAGCAAUCCUGGUGGCGAGUGGCGAACGGGUGAGUAAUAUAUCGGAACGUGCCCAGUCGUGGGGAUAACGUAGCGAAAGCUACGCUAAUACCGCAUACGAUCUAUGGAUGAAAGCGGGGGAUCGCAAGACCUCGCGCGAUUGGAGCGGCCGAUAUCAGAUUAGGUAGUUGGUGAGGUAAAGGCUCACCAAGCCGACGAUCUGUAGCUGGUCUGAGAGGACGACCAGCCACACUGGGACUGAGACACGGCCCAGACUCCUACGGGGGGCAGCAGUGGGGAAUUUUGGACAAUGGGCGCAAGCCUGAUCCAGCAAUAGCCGCGUGCAGGAUGAA
rnacentral:rRNA from 1 species